AAUGAUGUGAUUUCUUGCACUUCACUUGGUGGAAUUAUAAUUCCACCAAGUGAAGUGCAAGAAAUCACAUCAUU